GGCGUAAAGCGCACGCAGGCGGUUUGUUAAGUCAGAUGUGAAAUCCCCGGGCUCAACCUGGGAACUGCAUCUGAUACUGGCAAGCUUGAGUCUCGUAGAGGGGGGUAGAAUUCCAGGUGUAGCGGUGAAAUGCGUAGAGAUCUGGAGGAAUACCGGUGGCGAAGGCGGCCCCCUGGACGAAGACUGACGCUCAGGUGCGAAAGCGUGGGGAGCAAACAGGAUUAGAUACCCUGGUAGUCCACGCCGUAAACGAUGUCGACUUGGAGGUUGUGCCCUUGAGGCGUGGCUUCCGGAGCUAACGCGUUAAGUCGACCGCCUGGGGAGUACGGCCGCAAGGUUAAAACUCAAAUGAAUUGACGGGGGCCCGCACAAGCGGU
rnacentral:rRNA from 1 species